rnacentral:lncRNA from 1 species
UAAUUUAUCAAAUUAAGAACUUCAAAUCAUUUGUUUCUACAUUCACAGCUUUCUAACUACCCGCGUCACAGUUACAAGAAAAAUCAUAUCUCGAGUUACGAAACUCGAAAUUAAGAUCUGUAAAUUUUUCCUAAAUCUAGACUCAUAUAUAUAUUUACUAAUUUUUUUCUAGAAUUUUUGGUUGGGCCAAUUAGUACAGUUUAUUAGUUAAAGUCUCCCCUGUUUCAGGGUUUGACUACUCUGAC